GAUGAACGCUGGCGGCGUGCCUAAUACAUGCAAGUCGAGCGAACGGACGAGAAGCUUGCUUCUCUGAUGUUAGCGGCGGACGGGUGAGUAACACGUGGAUAACCUACCUAUAAGACUGGGAUAACUUCGGGAAACCGGAGCUAAUACCGGAUGAUAUUUUGAACCGCAUGGUUCAAAAGUGAAAGACGGUCUUGCUGUCACUUAUAGAUGGAUCCGCGCUUCAUUAGCUAGUUGGUAAGGUAACGGCUUACCAAGGCAACGAUGCAUAGCCGACCUGAGAGGGUGAUCGGCCACACUGGAACUGAGACACGGUCCAGACUCCUACGGGAGGCAGCAGUAGGGAAUCUUCCGCAAUGGGCGAAAGCCUGACGGAGCAACGCCGCGUGAGUGAUGAAGGUCUUCGGAUCGUAAAACUCUGUUAUUAGGGAAGAACAUAUGUGUAAGUAACUGUGCACAUCUUGACGGUACCUAAUCAGAAAGCCACGGCUAACUACGUGC
rnacentral:rRNA from 1 species